AGGGUGUAAACGCUGCAGACUUGGUGUUGGAAGUCCUUUGGGGGCAUUCAGUGCCGGAGAGAAGUUGUUAAGUCUGCUACUUGGGGAGUACGUCCGCAAGGAUGAAACUUAAAGGAAUUGGCGGGGGAGCACCGCAACGGGAGGAGCGUGCGGUUUAAUUGGACUCAACGCCGGACAACUCACCGGGAACGACAGCAAUAUGUAGGCCAGGCUGAAGACCUUGCCUGAAUCGCUGAGAGGUGGUGCAUGGCGUAGACGUCU
rnacentral:rRNA from 1 species